rnacentral:lncRNA from 1 species
UAGAUAGCAAAUACAAACUGGGUUUAGCAUAUUCAUUUUCACUCUGGAAAAAUGGAAGAAGAGUAGAAUCCCACCUCCCCCGGUGUUAUAUUACUGCCUGCAUGACAACAUAAUAGACCCAUCACACCAGAUAGGUAAUGUGAUUAUUGCAGGAUUGAGAACUAGUGAUGGGUUUUGCCUGAAAAUAGCCAGGGAGAGGUUCACCACAGGGAGGAAGCGGACUGGCGGCAGGAUGUGCAUGGAUUCAUAUGAUAGAAAUCAUCACCAAAGAUGAUGUUCCGGCCUUAAUGCCAGUUUGCCUGCCUCAUAUGAUAAAGUCCCUGGUUAUAGACAUUAAGUUGCCAAUGUAGGAUUUCUGUCCCACUUUAUACUUUUUUAUGUUUAUGAUUUACAGAGGCUAGUGAUACUAGAAUUAGAAAAGCUAGCAUCCACAUUUUACAAAAAAAAAAUCAUGCCUCUUGUAUUGCUGGUGGAAGAGGUAGGAUUAGUCAAUAUAAUCUGGAAUCUAAAAUAAUCUUUUGGGUAAAAUAUUUAUGAAAAUUCCUUAUUUCUCUUUGCAAGACAGUAUGAUUCUUCAAGUGCACAGAAUUUGAAAAGCAUUUUUUUCUCUGAAGUAUCAUAACCUACAUGACUGAAAAACAAUUUGCAGUGCUGUAGAAAUAAAAAAGCAGAAUGUAAGAUGUCAGAUAUGCAAAUAAAGCAACUUUUAUGCUCCAUGAAGUAUCAUGUUUUUGAAAUUCUGUAUGCAUUAAUGCCAAACAGACUUUGACCAUAUUUUUAAUAGGGAAAAUUAAUGCUGUUUACUGAAUUAAUGAUAAGAAAGAGAGUUAUCUAAACAAUGAUUUCUCUUUAUAGAAAAAAAAACAGAGCCUGCACUGUUGCUUUGGUACAUUAAAGCAGCACUGAUUCAAAGAACAUUGCCUUAAAAAAGAUUUAAUGAGACAUGAAAACAUAAAAAUAAUGCAUUUUUUUAUAAGCCAUUACAGCAUUCUUAGAAGAAAAGCUUGCAAUGCUACAUGAUUCUUUUAAAGAUAAUUGGGAAGUGUCUCCAAAUGUUCCCCUCGAUCUCUCCUCUUUUCAAAGUAGCUAGUUCCUUAAUAAUUGUAACUUUUUUGUGAUCUGGUAAAUAAAACUUCGAUCUUCUCCAAAGUGUAUGUGAUGAUAAUUUUGAGGGAGGAUCACAAUGUUAUAGAAAUGCCCUCAAAUGUUGCCCACAUUCUGACUUGUCUAUAAAGCAGAUUUGGUGAGUGAAGGGGGCAUUCUUCAUUUGUAGAUAGCUGAGGAGAUAUUUAAAAUGACACUAAUCAUAU